rnacentral:rRNA from 2 species
UACAGAGGGUGCAAGCGUUAAUCGGAAUUACUGGGCGUAAAGCGAGCGUAGGUGGCUUGAUAAGUCAGAUGUGAAAUCCCCGGGCUUAACCUGGGAACUGCAUCUGAUACUGUCAGGCUAGAGUAGGUGAGAGGAAGGUAGAAUUCCAGGUGUAGCGGUGAAAUGCGUAGAGAUCUGGAGGAAUACCGAUGGCGAAGGCAGCCUUCUGGCAUCAUACUGACACUGAGGCUCGAAAGCGUGGGUAGCAAACAGG